UUCAACACGUCACUGACGUCAAAGACUCCGCCUCCUCCGCGCUGUUAAAAAAUGUAAAUCAUUAUUUAGAGAGCUUCAAGUGUUUCCAUGGAGAUCACACAGCAGCACAAAGCUGUUUCAUCUCCGCUCAGAUGAAAAGGAGUGCUUAAAGGUCACAGUGGUGCUGAGGUCCAGUUGGCCCUACCAGCGCCCCCCACUGGCUACAGGAUGUAUGGUCAGUCUAUUUCACUGAGCGUUCUGGCGUCUCACAGGUGAUCUCAGAGUGUCAGCUCUCAUAUUUAUCAGCAGUUUAUCACAGAGAGGAGAAACUACAAGUUUACAGCAGCUGCUGGUGCCCAGAUGAGACGAUCAGUCGACGGACAGAUUUGCAAACAGCAAAGCAAAGCUGAGCCAGAAAAACAAUCCGCAGCAUCUUUGUGAUAAAGUUUUUAUUUGAGCCGCCGUGUGAACAUUAAAGAAUAUUUUACAAACUUAAUUGAUUCAACAAGAAAAGCCUUUGAUCUGACUUUUGUUUACUGAGUUGAGUUUUCUCUCAGAGAGAAGAACAGGUGAGCUUAACCUGGUAGUGGAGCCUCUAGUGGCUGAAAGGAGCAUUACAGAAACAAGCUGCUGUGAUCCAGCUCCUCUUCAACACGUGAUAAUAAUAAUAAUAAUAAUAAUAAUAAUAAUGAUAAUAAUAAUAUGUACUUUAUUGACCCCCCUGGGGAAAUUCCUCUCUGCAUUUAACCCAUUCACUCUGUGAAGCAGUGGGCAGCCAUUGGGCGCCUGGGGAGCAGUGUGUAGGGACGAUACCUUGCUCAGGCGUACCUCAGGGUGCCCCACUGCUCGAUUGACACAGACUCGCGGUUCUGCUUCGUGUCUGAUCGAUCACUGAUCUGAAUCAUGAGGUAGGAAAAGAGCGAGCAGGGAGAGGUGGAUGUUGUGAAGAUGAAGUCUGUGAGUUUCCCCUGAGCCAGAACGAUUUAAAGGAGCAUUCUGCAUUUUCAAUCCUGCUGGCUUUCAACAGCGUGAGCAGAGCGCUGUACCUGCAGGCAGGAUCUGAGAGUGGUGCUUCACCUGAAUUUGGAAGUUCAAAGUUGAACCGAAACAUACAUGGCAGUGUGAAAUUAAGCGAAAUGGCCCUUUAACCUGUUUUUCAGCUGUUCCAAGAGGCUGGAUGGAGACUCAGUGAGGAAGCUUUGGAAUAAUGAACAAAACAUGGACACAUCUGCUGAGGCUCAGUUCCUCCUCAUGGAUUCUGGUACAGAAACA